CUGUCUGAUGUACAGGUAAUUUUUCAGGGCGUUCUAUUUUAUGAUCUUGAUGGAGAUGCGAUCUUGACUGGGUUGGAUUAAGAGAAUGUGUGUGACAAGUUAAAGGAUGUGUGUAAAAGUAAGGUGUAAAAAGUGCCAAAAAAUGACAUGGGCAGGUAAGAAUAAAUUAAUGUUGCACAUAAGUUUGUAAAUCAUGUAUAAACUGUACACCACUGUUUUUUUUUUAUUAAUUACAAUACGAUUAUGUUGUUUACAAUAUUAACACUGUUAAGGCCCAAUAUGGAAAUCAAAUUAUUAACCGGUUUAAUGCCAGUCUUGUGAAGUUAAAAAAAAAUGAAAAAAAAAUUGGAAAGAAACGAAAUCGUCGAUUAAAGUUCAAUCGAAGUCUGUCCUGAACUGCUGAUGGAUUACCGACACUAAAAAAUUAAAAAAAAAUAUAUAUGUAACACAUUAAGAUCAGUCAGAAAUAUGUAAAUACAAAUAUGUGUAUAUAUCUAUAAAUAUGUCUAUAAUAUAUCAGUUGACUAAUUUAUCAUAAUUCUACAUACAUGUAUAUAACAAUACAUUACUUAGUACAUACUUGUCAGACGAUUUUGAAGUAUAUGUGAUUUUACAUUGUUAAAGAUGAAAAACAUUUAAUUCACCAGUAGACCUUAUGUUGAAUAGUUAAGAGUUGCUUUGAAAGAAUUUUAUGUGCAUCUGUUUUAUUUGUGCAUGUCCCGGCAUCAAUCGCAUUUUCGGCCAAGGAGGAUUUUAAACAAAAUAUAUGAUGUGGUUGCAUUUUGUCAUUUCUUCUGUUAUAUGGACAUUUUUGCUGGAAUUAAAAAGUCCAGUACAUUUUACACCAUGAAUGAUGAAAUAGCUUUAAUUAUUGAAAACCCGGCUGCGUCGAAUAUUUCUGUUCUGUUCAAUGAAAAGUUGUGUGUUGUUCUCACGGUAUGCCCCUUCCGCAAUUUUGUCCGAAGAGGUUAACAAAAUAAAUGUUGUUUCUACAAAUUUUUAUAUAAAGGUGGUCCUUUCUUUAUCCAUUGCUUGUAUGCCAUAUUUAUCUAAUUCCAUUUAAAAAUAACGGAUAGGAAUUUUAUGAAAUAAACACGGUGUUGUCUAAUAUUUUGCCAACGAAGCUUUUAACUUUCUAGUUAAGUCAAUAAACUGGCUUUUAAAUUGGUACAUAUGAACGCUAAAUAAAUUAUAUCAAAGGAAUAUAUUUAAGUUUUUACUUAAAACAAACUUAAACAUCCACAGAAAUGAAGAGGCUUAUUUGUAAGAGGGGAAAAUGUGAUUAUCCUUUCCCUGUCGAAGCGCCUCUCUGGUGUCUGAUGGAAAUUGAUACAAUAAUGUAUCUAAUACAUCUUCUCGAUAGAAAAUGAACACAUUUUUACAAUUGUAUCAUUGUUAGCCUUCGGGUGAUUUCUCUACCUGCCAUUUAAAUAAUGAAAAGUCAAUUGGUGUGUUUAAAGUGUCAGUAAUACAAGUUUCUCCGUUAAGUGUAAUUUGAAUAAGGUGUGUUUUAUAUUGCUCUCCUUUGGAUCUCGUGAGAAUGAAUUACAGAAUAAAUAUACGCAUUUAAUACAGGAAACAUUAAACCAAAGAAAAAACAUUUAAGUUUUAGGAAAAUUUGAUUUUACCUGUUGUAUUUAUAUUCAUAAGAGCCUUUACUGACCUUGUACAACGAAAAUUACUGAAUUCAAUCCGUAUAUUUUUAUACUAUGAUCUUACAUAGUGACUCAAAGCACCAGUAUGUGAUAUCGUAUGCCGCCUACCACUUACAAAUUCAAUCGAAUAAUCGCAUGGUGUCUUCUUGGAAAGCACCUUUAUUGUGGAAUAUCGUAUGUAACCAACCACUUAUCAACUGAAAAGUCCCAGUGUCUAUUUGGAAAGCACAAGCAGUGUUGGAAUAUCGUUUUUAACCUACAACUAAUUAAUUGAAAAGUCCCAGGGUCCAUUUGGAAAGCACAAACAGUGUUGGAAUAUCGUAUUCCACCUACCACUUAAUCAAUGGAGUAGUCCCAAUGUCCAUUUGGAAAGCACAAGUUAAGUUGGAAUAUCGUAUUCCACCUACCACUUAAUUAAUCGAAAAGUCCCAGUGUCCAUUUAGAAAGCACAAGUUAAGUUGGAAUAUCGUAUUCCACCAACCACUUACUAGUAAUCAAUAUCGAAAAGUCGCAAGGUCCUGUUGGAAAGCAUGUAAGCAGUGUAAGAAUAUCGUAUUCAACCUACCACUAAAUCAAUAUAGAAAAGUCGCAGGGUCCUUUUGGAAAGCAUGUAAGCAGUGUUGGAAUAUCGUAUUCAACCUACCACUAAAUCAAUAUCGAAAAGUCGCAGGGUUCUUUUGAAUAGCACAAGCAGUAUUAGAAAACUAGUAUCGUAUAUUCCACCUUAACCACUUAAUCAAUCGUGUAGUCACAGUACUUGGAGCAUUGGCAAGGGUUUCAAUCCUGAUUGUUAUGGAUAAAUAAUUGCAAAUGGCCACAAUUUUAUAUCAAGUGUUUGUUUUAGUGAUAGGCGAAGAAUGUCGACCUAACUCCCUAAAACAAUUGUGUAUUGGAAACUCAUGACUUACACAUUUUCGAAACGGGGUUUCAAAUUGGUUAAGUUUAGUUACUUGGAUUAAUUUGUUGGGAGUUUGAUAUUUGCGCCGAUUAUAAAUUUUUCGAUCAUGCAUUUGCACCGAUUAUAAUUUUUUCGAUCAUGCAUUUGCACCGAUUAUAAAUUUUUCGAUCAUGCAUUUGCAUCGAUUAUAAAUUUUUCGAUCUUGCAUUUGCGUCAAUUAUAAUUUUUUCGAUCUUGCAUUCUUUCAUUAGCGCCGAUUCUAUAUUCGCAAUGCAUUGUCAUAAGAAACGAGUGACCGGUGAAAAAUAAUGUUCUUCCAAUUCUUGAACCAAUGCAUACAAACAUCAUAAACUUAGUCUUCUGUGCACGAAUUUAUCAUUUUUUUCGUGUAAAUUUCGUAUAAUCGUCAUUUUUCUUCAACCGGUCAGUGUUGUGGUGAAAAUAUGGCAGGUAAUUUAAGUUCGUGUUUUGAAGCCGAAGUUUAACGAUUGUCACCUGUUUGACCGUGAACAAUCGACAAAAAAAAAAUCAACACUGAAAAAAGCAUGGAAAUUGAGCACGUGUUUAACAUGUAAAUUCAGAUAAUAGUUUAUUUUAAGGACAUCCAUGCGUAUUGCGAUCACCGGAUUUUAACGAGAUGGGUCACACUGAGGUCACUUUGCAUACGGAAAAUAUAUCGGGGGAAUUGCUUGCUGGAAGGAAGCAAUUAAAAUAAAGUAAACUUCUUCUAAAUAUGAAUAAAUUAAAGAAUUUUUUUUCAGAAAAAAUGUAUAUGUACAUAAGUUUUAUAAUGAAAAAUAUCCAUUGAGUUAUAAAAAAACAUAUACAUUAUUUUUUUUUAAUUUGAGGUAUCUUAUGACUUUAAAACAGGUGAGUAAAUACAUGCACUAUACCUAGUGUAACGGACUUCUGCCAGUAGGUAUAUUGGUAAAAUCUGGAUAAAAUUUUAAUGUUGUGCUUUUGAAUGCUGUAAAUAAAUUUUUAACCCGUGAUUUUAGUGGAUGUAAAUAGAGAUUGCUUUUAUCUUUUAAAUUGACUUAUCCUGCUCGAAAGCCUACUUGCACCUCCCUAUGGUGAGCAGGGGACAACAGUUGUAUACAUGUUACAAUUGACAAUUCAUAACAUAUGUACAACUGGCUAACCGAAGAGGUUUAAAAUGAUAAAAUAGAAAGAAAAAAAAAACCAUUCACCUGUACACAAUCGGCGCAAAUGAAAGAUAAAAUCGGCGCAAGUGAAAGAAAAAAUCGGCACAAACGAAUUGCAGAUCGGUGCAUAAAAAACGCCGAAUUCUUCUCAGAUAACAUUAUAUAUCACCAUCACUGUCAUAUAUCAACAGUGUUAAACUUUUGAAUUUUGUACGUUUUACUCAUUUAAGUAUAGCUUUUCUAUUUUUUUUAAAACGGAAUAAAAGUGUUCUCUCUAUUGUUUCAUAUCAUAGAGUAUUAUGGUAGAUACAAAGCAAGGAACGCAUCAUACUCGGAUUCUAAGAAAAAAACCUUGUGUUAUUUUUUUUUUUAAAUUUCAUUAUAAUUGCACUUUUAAAUUGGGUUUUCUUUUCAGAAGAGUUAACCAAUCCUUUUGUUCAUUAUAGUUCGACUUCCUUAUUUAAACAACAAUUAUAAAUAAUGACUUGCUGACUUGUUUCUAUCUUCUUCCUUCAAAUCAUAUGAUAUUGUUUAUUCUUAUACAAUACCAUUUAGUGUUCUUGGUUGCAAAUCCUUUUUCAAGAUUUAUUAGAAUAACUGACUUAGAAAUGAUUUACAUGAUAAAAUCUGGUGGUUUAAUAUAUUAUAAGAUAAAAUCUGGUGGUUUAAUAUAUUAUAAAUGGUUUGUUAUAAGCAUAUUGUUGUAUUUAAAUUAUCCCUUGCAAAAUAUUAAUCAUAAUUCAGAAACUCUUUCAUUCUGGACCAUGUUUACAUUUAUUUACCAAAAGUAAGGCAAUAUAAACCAAUAUAAGAACCCCCCCCCCCCCAAAAAAAAAAAACAAAACAAAAACAAAAACAACAAUAAAAGAAAUCAACAAAAUAAGCAGACAGACAAACAAACAAAUUAAUGAAAAUAAAAAACUGCAAACAAAAACAAUACAAUGACUUUAACCUAAAAAGUAUAUAAGAUAAAAAAAAAAAAAAGACAGAACAGAAAAUAAAUGGUUGCAAAACACAAGUGUUCUUUUUUUUAAUUUGUUUGCCUUUUGCAUGUGUUUGUUUUGUGGAAUGGCAAAGCUUGCUUAUUUAUAUUUUUGAUAGCUACUCCUUCCAUUAUAAAUACUUGUUCAUUAUGCACCUUUCCAAAUUCUGAUGUAAAUUGAGACCUCAUCAAUAUGCAUGAUUUUUAUAUUUGUUUAAGGUUGUGGACGUCACAUAGAAGUUGUUUUAGAAGAUGUACCAGUACAUGAAAGAUGUUCUUGUCCAAAGAAAAAGGCAUGUGCAAUAUCAUGACAGAGGUAACAACAUCUUUAUCUAUAGACUAUAAGGUUUGAAAUAAACCCUUUAAAUGGCAGGCAGGGUUAGUGGUUAGAAGGAGGCACAGAAAGACUUAAAAUUGAAAUGCUUCUCCAUAUUUUAUCCUCAGCCUCUUACAAAGUAAUAAUUAUUCUUUAUGAUAUAUGUACAAGUUAUCUUUGUAUUCUAUGAAAACCUGAAACAUGUCAAGUAGCAUGUAGUUUGCAAGAUUCUGAUAUAGUUUAAAACUAAAACUAAAGAUUUCUAUAUCCAUGAUGUAGGACCCGUUCAUAAAUUUAAAGAAAAUAGACAACAGGUACCCGUACCCUUUUCUUUUCUAUAGCAGUUUAAACCUGUGCUAGCAACAGUCUUAAAUUUCCAGUGAGGUGAAAGUUUUUUUAACCGGAUUUUUGUGACAAAAAUGUCGGUUAUUGAUUUGGGGAUGUACGGCGGGCGGGCGGCAAUCAAAUGUUGUCCGUGCAUUAACUCAUGAACCGUUCAACCAAAGCUUUUAAAAUUUUAAUAUGUUGUUACUGACAACUAAAUGAAGGUCAAGUUCAAUAAUGGCGAUUUUGACUUUUACCGUUCAGGAGUUAUGGUUCUUGAAAGAUUGAAAAAUGGAGUUUCCAGUCGUGUCUGUGCAUUUACGCAUGAACUGUUCUACCAAAGCUUCCCAAAUUUUAAUAUGUUGUUACUGAUGACAAAAUGGAGGUCAAGUUCAAUAAUGACGAUUUUGACUUUUACGGUUCAGGAGUUAUGGUUCUUGAAAGAUUGAAAAAUGGAGUUUUCAGUCGUGUCCGUACAUUUACGCAUGAACUGUUCUACCAAAGCUUCCCAAAUUUUAAUAUAUUGUUACUGAUGACAAAAUGGAGGUCAAGUUCAAUAAUGACGAUUUUGACUUUUACCGUUCAGGAGUGAUGGUUCUUGAAAGAUUGAAAAAUGGUGUUUCCAGUCGUGUCCGUGCAUUUUCUCAUAAACCAUUCAACCAAAGCUUUUGAAAUUUUUAUAUGUUGUUACUGAUGACAAAAUAGAGGUCAAGUUCAAUAAUGACGAUUUUGACUUUUACCGUUCAGGAGUUAUGGUUCUUGAAAGAUCGUAAAAUGGCGUUUCCAUUCACGUUGUUGCAUUUACUAAGGCAGCAACCAUUUGAUUUUCUGGGGGGGGGCUAUGGUUUUUUUUGGAAAAAAAAGUUUGUUUCCAGUUUUUGGAGAAAAAAAUAAUUUGUUUUUCAUUCUGAGAAAAAAAAAUUGUUUGUUUCACCCUCAGCUGCCACUAUAUGUAAUGCUAAAAUUGAAAGAAAAAAAUUGUUUUCGACUUGUCGCAAAAAAAAUAGAUUGUUUUUCGCCGCAGGCGAAAAAAAAGUUUGUACAGAAAAAAAAACCAUAGCCCCCCCCCCCCCAGAAAAUCAAAUGGUUGCUGCCUAAUGAACCAUUCAAUCUAAGCUUUUCAAAUUUUAAUAUGUUGAUACUGACUACAAAAUGGAGGUCAAAUUUGAUAUUGACGAUUUUCACUUUCAGCAUUCAUUAGUUAUAGUUCUUGUGAUAUUGCCAGGACACAAAUAAAUGUUAAUAAAUCCGGUUUGCUGUCGUUGUGACAGCUCUUGUUUUUGUUUAGUGUUGAGGGCCUCACUUUGACUUUGAGAUGAAGAACAGCAAUUAAAGCACUGUUCCUGUGCAUUUUUUUGUUUUUUUUUUGCUGUUGAUGUACUCAUUUAGUGUCCUGGAUAUAUACCCUAUAUUCUCUGAAAUUCUAUUAAUUGUUUGUAGCUUGAGAAGUAAUUUAUUACACCUUUUUCAGAAGUGUUCAUAGAUGUAUUUCUGUUUGCCUGGGCUAGGCUAGAGUGUUUUCACUCAACAAAUAUUACCAGGUAUCAAUGAGACUUGUUUGGCGACUAUUCUUUCACAAAGGCUUAUAUUUUAAGAAUUAUCAAUUUAUGAUUGGGCUAAUAUCUUCUUGAUGUUUUUACAUAGCUUCAUUUUGAGAUUGACAAUAAAGUUUUAUAUAAGAUGUUUUAACAAAUAUUUACAUGUUAAUUGGGAAAAUUGAUGCUCACAUUUAAUUUUAUCAAAACCUAUGUGAAACAAGACCCUGUUUUACAUAAAACAAUUAGUUACAUAUGUCAAUUUUGACAAGGAAAUGAUUAGAAAUUGACAUUCCAAUUAUAAAAGUUAUUUCUCCAUUAAUGGGACCAUACUAUAUCAUCCUAUGCAUUUAUCUUCAAGGGUAAACAAUCACAAACAAAGGAAGAUAACUCAAAUUUUAACUUGUCUAUCAAAAUACAAUGCAAUGUUUUUAUUAAAAAUUUUACAAAAUUGCAAAAUGAAAGCAAUCUUUACCCUCAGUGCUUCGAUUAAUUUAUUUUAUCAUCCCUGUUUUCUCAUUAAAGUCAUAUGAAACGAGUGACUGGUGAAAAAUAAUGUUUAUACAAUUCUUGAACCAAUGCAUUUAUAUAUGAUAAACUUUGUCUUUUGUGCACGAUUUAAUCAUUUUUUGCGCAAACACGAUUUUUUUUCUCUCUCUGUCUGUUAUUAUGUGAAAACAUGGCAGGUAAUUAAUUAUUGUGUUUUGAAACUGUAAUUUACCGAUUGUCACCUUAUAGUAAACAAUCAACAAAAGAAGCAUGGAUAUUGAGCACAUGAAUAACAUGUAUAAUCAGAUAAUAAUUUAUUUUAAUGACAGACCCAUGGGUACUGCAAUCACCGGAUUCUUACGAGAAGGGUCACGCUAAGGUCACUUGCAUAUACGGAAAAUAUGUCGGCGAAUUGCUUCCUUGGAAGCAAGCAAUUGAAAUAAGUAAACUUCUUCUAAAUGUGGACAAUUUUCUGAAGAAUUUUCUCCAGAAAAAAGUAUAUGUACAUAAGUUUUAUAAUGGAAACUAUCCAUUUAGUUAUAAAAAACAUAUGCAUCAUUUUUUUUUUUAAUUUGAGGUUUCAUAUGACUUUAAGAUGCUUAUUCACUGAUUUGUAUUUUUGUAGGCUACAUCUGUGAAGAUGAUGUAAAUAUUUAGAAGAGUAAUGUGAAUCUCAGAACAUGCAGCAUUUUAGAUUUAGUCAAGACAUUAUUUGGUGCAUUUUCUUUUUAUGUGAUUAUGAAGUGUAAAUACUGUUACUUUUAGUUCAUGUUUAAAUUAUUUUGUUUGUUAAAGAUAAUUUUAUGCUAGAGUAAGUGCUUUUUUUUCACUAUAUAUUGACCAUUUGACUUUUGCAAGUUUUAACAUGUGUAUAGAUGACAUCAAACGUAUUUAAAAAUGUUUUUUUCUGAUUUGGUACACAGAUAGAGAUUCCAAAAAAAUUGGCAAUAAUAGAUCAAUGGAACCAACAACAGUUGAUCCACUUAGUUACAAUUUAACAGCAUCAUUGCAAGCACAGUUUAAGUAAUUAACAUCAGUAAAACACUAAAAUUUUCAUAGAAAUUAUCUAUGUUUGUCACAAUGUUUGUCACAUUUUGCUGGAACCUUCAUUCCAUGUCCAAGCAAAAUUAAUUUCUUUGAAAAAGAAAUAAAAGGCAAAUUGAACUUUAUAAAAAAAAAAUUCCACCGACUGUGCAAGAACCUUAUAGGUAGUCAAGGUCUUGUUUGAGAAUUAAAAUAUAUUUAUCUUGUUUGAGAAUGUAUAAUGUAUUAACACUAGUUGUGACAAUACUUCCUGCUAUCAAAUACUCUUUGUAUGAAAUUUUAUAUUUUACAUCAAUGUAUGCGUGUAUAGUUUGGUUUUUUACAUUUGUGUUCAUAUUUAUAAUAGCUUGCAUCAUUUUUACUCAAGUUUGUGCUUUAUUCAGAAUCCAUUAAGGGAUUUUAAAAAGUUGAAGUGGAGGGAGUGGAGGGUUGGACAUUACUGAUGUUUUUUUCUUUUGGCAAUAGUGACGGAAGCAAAAAACAAUCUGUCAUAAAAAAAGAUUGCUGCUUACCAUAGUGUUUUUUAAAUGUUUGAUAAAACCACAUACAUUUUUUCUGUAAUAUCCCAAAUUUUUGUAAAAACUUGUAUUAAACUGCAGAUACUGUUUAAGCAAUAUAAGAAAUCAUUUUUGGGUAAACUUUGUUUUUUAUUGUUUUAAAAGAGGUAUGUUGAUAUUUAUGUUGUAAGUAAAAUGACAUUUAAAAGAAUCUCAUUGCAUCUCAGGGGGAGGCAACUCUAAAACAUUUGUCUUUGUCUGCCAUGUUUUAUGUAUAUUAUAUUUGUUUCAUGUUUUCAUUGAUGUUAUUUCCAAAGUGUUCAAUAAAUGUAUUGUACUAAUUUAUUUCCUUAGAGAAAAUAACUCUAUCUAAUUAAACCACCAUAAAAGAUACACCAAAAUAUUUGCAAAACAUGAUCUUUUUCCAAUUGUUCCAAAAGACAGUGUAUACUUUUUUUAGCAAACAUCUUUGUUAUUUCAAUUGUAUGCAUUGUCACAGUAUAAAUCAUAAUGGUAUACUUAUUAGUUACAUCAUGAUCUGUUUUACUUUAGGAAAAGUAAAUUUUUGAAAUAAUUCAUAACCUUCUAGUGCAUUGUAAACUGAAAUCACUUUUUAGAGGUACAUGUAAUAUCCAUGUCUAUAAGACCUUAAAAAGACAAUACAGUGUUGUUUGUUGAAAAUGGACCAUAAAUUAUAUCAACAACUUACCAUAAAUGUGCAGCACAUUAUUGAAUAUUAAAAUGAACCAAUUUACAUUUUAUUAUGAUAUUAUUACGUAAGUAUUUCUGUAUUGGCCUUGUUAUUGGUCCGAGGCUUGCUGUAUUGGCCUGAGGCGAAU
rnacentral:lncRNA from 1 species